UCCUCACCCAGGAUGACGAAUAUAUAUAUAUAGGACAACACUAUUCUAAUCCCAGAAUUAUAAUAGUUAUUUGGAUAUCGGUCCCUUCCUCAAGAUUCGGCAGGCGCGCCCGGCACCAACCCCCGGAUCAGACCGCCGCGGCGCCACCGGUCUUGGAUCCGGCCGCUGCGCCGCCCGCCUCUGCUCCUCGCCUGCCGCCUCCACGCCCGCACGAGGGGAUGCAAGUCCUCGUGCUCCUCCAUCGGCAGCCACCGGAGGGCCUUUGGCGCACCUUCCCUUACUCUCUUCCUUCUCCUUCCUUCUCCCUCACACCCUCUGUAUUCUGCCAUAGGUACCCGUCAUAGCCAUCAUGGACAGCAGCCACGCGGCAGGAGCUCGCCACCGAAGUCCCCCGAGCACCAUCCGCCCCGAAUCUGGCCGGGAACCGGACGAGGCCGAGCCCUCGCGCCCAGAUCUGCGCGUGACUCGGCGCCACAACCGCUACCACCGGAGAUCCAGCAGGGAUCACCAGCCCCAACGACCUCCACCUCCCAACCCCGCCUACCCGCCGCCCCAGCCAGUGUGUCGCCCUGUGCACUCCGCCGCCGGCAGGAAGAGCUUGGACACCGCCACCACGCAGACUCCUCCCGGUGGGGCCCAACUGCCGCAGUAAUCUGGAAGUUCGCCGCCGCCACCACCUCGGGGGGUUCAACGGACGCACCCCCGCUUCUGGAACCACCUGCAGGGACGACGACCACCCCUCCCUCCUCCUUUUGCAGCGGCGUAUCACAUAGGGAAGUUUGACCCGGACAACCGCUUCAGUUCGAUGUCAAUGCAUAGUUCAGCUUCGUUAUGCUCUUUUCUUAUUUUGACAAAAGAUGUUGUUUCUGUAAAUUUGUGCACAUAAAGUUCAAAAAAAUAUAAUGGAGAUAAGCAGCAUGUA